GAGCAAAUGCAACACUUGCAUGCGCCAUUGUAUUCAUAUGUGCUGGGUAUGAUUAUAUGGGCGGCUUGUUUCUACAGCUCUUCACCUGCAACCAUUAUCCAUUGGACUCGGUUGCCACUCGAGUUUUGGGUGAUGAGUUCAUCGAGGAAAUAAAGAAGUUUGACCCUCCAUACAGCAAUACAUAUGGUCCUACGUUCUCUUAUCCUACCAGCCAUGGAAUUAGUAUGCCUCCUUGCGCCUUAUAUUGUUACAUGGUAUUAGGAGCUUUCCAAAACGUUUGCAACCGCUGUUACCUUUGGUCGUGUGUUAGACGUGUUAGUCAAAUGCUAUAGUUAUUCCAUUAUACUUUAUUGUUUGUUUAUGUUAUCCGCUAUGUCAUGUUUCAAAUUAUGAUAAGGCUUCUACUAUGUUGUUUAUGUUUAUGUUGAAAUUAUAUUAUUGCUUAAGAAAUUUGCAAGGUGUGUUAUGUUUCUCAAGUUGAAUAUUUUUCAGCCAAAUUCGCAUAUGAUAUUUAGUUCCCGCAGUAAAUGUAAAUUUGGAUAUUAAAAUCUAAGCGUCCACAACUACGUACACGUGCAUCUACCAAAUAAUACUUAAAGGUUUUUGGUUUGUCUCGUAAAACUAGAUAUGGACGUACGCUAGCAUGAGAUAUCAACUCUAACGUACACUAAAAAAUAACACAUGCAAACAUAUGAGGUCUUUAGUUUGUCUCAUAAAUGGUGAUAUUUAUGAAUGGACGUACACUGAUAGUACACUACAGCGUACACUGUUUGUUGGGUAAAUGUAGAAAUAUAAAUGUGGACGUACACUAAAACGUACACUGUUUGUUGGGCAAAUGUAGAAAUGUAAAUGUGGACGUACACUAAAACGUACACU
rnacentral:sRNA from 1 species